UUUGCUUUGAAGCCUGCUUCGCAUAAUUUAGAUUUAAUUUUCAAAAAAAUUUGAAAUUAUUGGCAGGAGAAUUGUUUCAGGGGUUUGAAAUUGCUGCUUGGGCCAUUGCUGCUUGCGCGUUAUAUUGCACUCUGAAGGCACGCUUACACUGAGGAUUGAAUCUUUCCUACAUAACGAGUUAUUGACUACGAAAUGUUCGCAGAAGAAUCUCCAAAGAAGCAUUCCGAGCAGAAAAAUCGGCCUCAAG